UGAACAAACUCAGACUUUUUGUUCAUCUGGUCAUGCUUUUCCUCUUUGUUUGACUGUAAUCUGGCAAUUAUUGUGCAUACGUUUGUGUUCUUUAAAAUUUAUCCUGCAGGUGAAUCCACAUCUCAUCACUGGGGUAGAAGAAAAGGAGAACAUGAAGCCACGAAGAAUAUGCAGUUCAUUGUACCCCUGCUUUUUUUGAGAAUUUCAAUGGCUGAAAAUUCUUA